rnacentral:rRNA from 1 species
UACGAGGGGGGCUAGCGUUGCUCGGAAUUACUGGGCGUAAAGGGAGCGUAGGCGGACAGUUUAGUCAGAGGUGAAAGCCCAGGGCUCAACCCUGGAAUUGCCUUUGAUACUGAUUGUCUUGAGUAUGGGAGAGGUGAGUGGAACUCCGAGUGCAGAGGUGAAAUUCGUAGAUAUUCGGAAGAACACCAGUGGCGAAGGCGACUCACUGGCCCAUUACUGACGCUGAGGCUCGAAAGCGUGGGGAGCAAACAGG